UUCACAGAUUUAGAUACCUGCCAGCGCAAAACAGACAGAGAAUAGAGUCCAUUUUCACUAUAAUCACUCUGAUUCUGGUAAGUUUUCCAGAUGGACAGCCAGGUACAGUGUCUUCUUUUGAUAUAUCUUCUUUCAAUUCAUGUAGUGCAAGGCCUUGGCAAGAAGUUGAGCUUUAUUUGAAUGUGGUGAAUGAACACUUAUCAUUGUUGAAG
rnacentral:misc_RNA from 1 species